rnacentral:misc_RNA from 1 species
UCGCUCCUCCCCAAGAGCACGAGCAAUUGCCGAUAGUCUACGGAUUGAUUUCAGCCUUAGCUGGAUGUCAUCAUUUUUUAGCUCAUCUAUGAGAACAGCAAUUGGAUACAGGGGCUCAUCAACCACAGACAUUGUAUCUCAAAGUUCCGAUCUCAAAUUCUCAAUGCAUUCCCGCCGGCUGACUCUGACGAAGCUGAGAGAGAGAGAGAGAGAACCAACGAAUUUUCGCACACUUUAUAUUCAACUAUUUAGAUUAAAACCAAUGCC